AAGAUUAAGCCAUGCAUGUCUAAGUAUAAACACCUUUAUACAGUGAAACUGCGAAUGGCUCAUUAAAUCAGUUAUAGUUUAUUUGAUAGUACCUCACUACAUGGAUAACCGUAGUAAUUCUAGAGCUAAUACAUGCGAAAAGACCCGACUUCUGGAAGGGAUGUAUUUAUUAGAUAAAAACCAACCCGGGCAACCGGUUCUUUGGUGAUUCAUGAUAACUUUUCGAAUCGCAU
rnacentral:rRNA from 1 species